rnacentral:lncRNA from 1 species
AAGGGGACUACGACCGCGCUCAGAAGGAUCCCUCCCAAUCUUUACUCCAUUAAUCUCGUCGAGGCCUGACACGAGCAGAAGCGGCGUCGAGGUUGGCGCCUCUGUGAAGGAGAAGCGAGAAGAGCAUGGCUCUCCAGAUUCAGCGACGAACUCUCGUGCAGUGACAGUAGCAACCGGCACCGAAGAUCCUCGAAUGAGUGGUGGAGGGUUCUAUCGCGUUUCUCCGAUUAUGUUCAAGCCACCAUUACUCACAACGGCAGUGUUCCCUUGGGACCGUGAUGAUGAGACGUGAACCGUGAAGGAGCAAGAAGAAGUGGCGAUUUCGGGCGUAGGUAUGUCCGAAAGAAAAGGCGGCCGAUGAGCGCCGUGGAGAGGUGGGUAUGAAUUGGACGUAGAGGCGCCAACGAGUGCAUCUCCGAGAAUUGCAGUGGUAAGGCAGAGAGAUGACAGUGCUU